rnacentral:rRNA from 1 species
GACGAACGCUGGCGGCGUGCUUAACACAUGCAAGUCGAGCGGAGCGGCGAACGGGUGAGUAACGCGUGAGUAACUGCCCCCCUCUCUGGGAUAACAGUUGGAAACGGCUGCUAAUACCGGAUAGUGGGGGAUGACUCGCGUCCUAUCAGCUUGUUGGUGGGGUAGUGGCCUACCAAGGCGGCGACGGGUAGCCGGCCUGAGCGGGCGACCGGCCACAUUGGGCUGAGAUACGGGCCAAACUCCUACGGGAGGCAGCAGUGGGGAACAUUGCAGAAUGGAGGAAAAUCUGAUGAAGCAACGCCGCGGGCGGGAAGACAGGCUUUGGGUUGUAAACCGCUUUCAGCCAUGACGCGGUAGUGGCAGAAGAAGCACCGGCUAACUACGUGCCAGCAGCCGCGGUAAUUC